UGCUACGUAAGUUUCUACGUAAGGUGCUCGGUAUUUCACUUAGGCUACGUAAGUCUCUACGUAAGGUGCUCGGUAUUAGAUCUACCAACGGGUGGUAGCCGCGUGCUCUGCACGUGCACGGCAGACAUUGUGUUGCAGUGCAGUCCGUGUUUGGAUGUGCAUGCGCGAGGAACUUUCUCCUUUGGAACUGCUUCUUGUAUGAGCUGUUUCGGAUAUUUCGUCUCCUGGCAUGGCUUAUUUCGUUUCGGCGCUGCUGAGACCUCCUUUCGCGGAAUAUUACUCAAUGACAGUGUGCGAAGAACGCGAGUUCACCUUCUUGACGAAAAUCGUGGACUAACAGUUUGAAGUCAUUGAACUACUUCCAAAAGUUGUAUCGACAUCAACAGGAUUA